CUUUCCGGUUGAUCCUGCCGGACCUGACUGCUAUCGGAUUGAUACUAAGCCAUGCGAGUCAUUGUAGUAAUACAAGGCAGACGGCUCAGUAACGCGUAGUCAACCUACCCUAUGGACGGGAAUAACCUCGGGAAACUGAGAAUAAUGCCCGAUAGAACAUUAUGCCUGGAAUGGUUUAUGUUCCAAAUGAUUUAUCGCCGUAGGAUGGGACUGCGUCCUAUCAGUUUGUUGGUGAGGUAAUGGCCCACCAAGACUAUUACAGGUACGGGCUCUGAGAGGAGUGGCCCGGAGAUGGGUACUGAGACACGGACCCAGGCCCUAUGGGGCGCAGCAGGCGAGAAAACUUUGCAAUGUGCGAAAGCACGACAAGGUUAAUCCGAGUGGUUUCUGCUAAAGGAACCUUUUGUCGGUCCUAGAAACACCGAUGAAUAAGGGGUGGGCAAGUUCUGGUGUCAGCCGCCGCGGUAAAACCAGCACCUCAAGUUGUCAGGAUGAUUAUUGGGCCUAAAGCAUCCGUAGCCGGCUCUGUUAGUUUUCGGUUAAA
rnacentral:rRNA from 1 species